AAUAGAUGACGCCGUUGAUUUUUUCUCAAAUGUUUGACCAUUCGUCUUAUUCAAAAAUUUUACGUAAUUAUAAUUUAUUUUAUUAUGAGUUGUUUUAUCACUCAUAGUACUUUAAGUAUGAUUUAUAUAAAAUUUUUGAAUAAGACGAAUGGUCAAACAUGUGAGAAAAAGUUAACGGCGUCAUCUAUU
rnacentral:pre_miRNA from 1 species